rnacentral:lncRNA from 1 species
AGUAAUCUUGCCCAUCUUGUUAUCCUGUAGGCGGUCAAGCCUGUCCCGAUACAAAGUGGUGCCAUGAGGAGUGACUACCCAAGGGAGACAGCCUCAGAGGUCACAGAAGCUGAAAGGCCGGAUGAAAGCUCUCAGGAUUUCCAGGAACUUCACUUCUUACAUGGAAAGGAAGUCUGGGAGAGAAUUUGGCAGUUCUGCUGGAUGAAGCAAAUGAAGAUUGGCAACUGGGGCUGGACCUGGAUUUCACAACUGGAUGUGAGAAGCGAAUCAAAGCUCACCGUGUCCAGCUGGUUGGCAGAGUCCUCCCCAGCACAAAGGAAGCUGGCUCCAUUGGUACACACUUGGGAUUCAAGCACUCAGGAGCUGGACGCAGAGGACCAGAAGCUCAGGUCUAGGGGCUCAGGGUCAGGCUAGGACACAUGAGGCCCUGCUGAAAGCAAACACCAAACUCAAUGUGAUGAACUAUAUCCAACUUGCUGGGGUCCAGCCUCGACUCAGGAUCGGAGUUCUCAACUGGAAGCAGGGAUAUCUGGAAGGCGCAUAAUAAAUACAAACAGACUACUCUUUGGGUACAAACUGACAGGCAAUUUCAAGGCUUAAACUCUCUCUCUCUCUCUCUCUCUCUCUCUCUCUCUCUCUCUCUCUCUCUCUCUUCCUCUCUCUCUCUCUCACUCCUUGAGGCU